CGUCCCAGUGUGUAACUGACGCUAAAGCUCGAAAGUGCGGGUAUCGAACAGGAUUAGAUACCCUGGUAGUCCGCACGGUAAACGAUGGAUGCCCGCUGUUGGCGACACACUGUCAGCGGCCAAGCGAAAGCGUUAAGCAUCCCACCUGGGGAGUACGCCGGCAACGGUGAAACUCAAAGGAAUUGACGGGGGCCCGCACAAGCGGAGGAACAUGUGGUUUAAUUCGAUGAUACGCGAGGAACCUUACCCGGGCUUGAACUGCAGGGGAACGAUCCAGAGAUGGUGAGGUCAGCAAUGACCCCUGCGGAGGUGCUGCAUGGUUGUCGUCAGCUCGUGCCGUGAGGUGUCGGCUUAAGUGCCAUAACGAGCGCAACCCCUGUCUCCAGUUGCCAUCAGGCGAUGCUGGGCACUCUGGAGAUACUGCCACCGUAAGGUGCGAGGAAGGUGGGGAUGACGUCAAAUCAGCACGGCCCUUACGUCCGGGGCUACACACGUGUUACAAUGGGUGGUACAGAGAGUCGGUCGCCUGCAAAUGCGAUCCAAUCCCUAAAGCCGCCCUCAGUUCGGAUUGGGGUCUGCAACCCGACCCCAUGAAGCUGGA
rnacentral:rRNA from 1 species